rnacentral:rRNA from 1 species
CCUACGGGGGGCUGCAGUGAGGAAUAUUGGUCAAUGGGCGCGAGCCUGAACCAGCCAAGCCGCGUGAAGGAUGACUGCCCUACGGGUUGUAAACUUCUUUUAUAAAGGAAUAAAGUGAGGCACGUGUGCCUUGCUGUGUGUACUUUAUGAAAAAGGAUCGGCUAACCCCGUGCCAGCAGCCGCGGUAAUACGGAGGAUCCGAGCGUUAUCCGGAUUUAUUGGGUUUAAAGGGAGCGUAGAUGGGUUGUUAAGUCAGUUGUGAAAGUUUGCGGCUCAACCGUGAAAUUGCAAUUGAUACUGGCUGUCUUGAGUACAGUAGAGGUAGGCGGAAUUCGUGGUGUAGCGGUGAAAUGCUUAGAUAUCACGAAGAACACCGAUUGCGAAGGCAGCUUACUAGACUGCCACUGACAUUGAUGCUCGAAAGUGUGGGUAUCAAACAGGAUUAGAUACCCGGGUAGUC